rnacentral:lncRNA from 1 species
CUGGGUAAAACCACAAAGUGAAUUUAAUUACCCUGCGCAAACAUAAAUUCACAAGGCAACAGACGGUAAGAAAUUGAGAACUCUGCAAAAGGGUCAGCAAAAAAAGAGAUUUCACAGACGAAGUGGAGUGGUAAAAAGACCAGGGAGAGACGGAGAGUGGGGAACCAAGGGAGUAAAGGACAGGAGGAGGUACCUGCCAGCUACGUUCUGGGCCGUUUUUGCAGAUAAGGCUCAAAAACCUCACAGCUACCUCCUGAAGUGGCAUCAAAAGAGGUGACUUGUCCCAGCAGGGCCCUGCAGAAGGUCAGGUGAGUGACCUCGGCGAGGAUGCAGCCAACCUUCAGAAGCAAGAAAUUUCAAAGACUACAUAUAUCUACAUAUAUGUUACCCGUCAUGGUGGGAGACGCCCUCCUGAUUCCACCUGAGACCCUCUUCCAGGUAAUCUGUGUAAUUAGAAGAGGAAGAGAACAGGGAAAAGAAGCGGAGACUGAAUUCCCUUCUUAUGCUGGCACACAUCGGUCAUCUGGAUAAACUGGAAAUCACUGAUGAGAAUCCUGUGGGAUAACUAGGCAGCCAGUGGCAUCGGCACAUCAUACCCCUUCAGUAAUAACUGUCAUGAUAAAACUACCGCUGACCGACUGUCCUUAAAGGGCCGAGACUCCAGAUCAAGCUGUGCACCAUUGGCCAGGGGACUUCCAACCCCAGUUCUGGUUCCCUCUGUGUCCCCUGACUGGCUCCCAGCCCACCUUGAGCAGAGGGAGAAGGUAACAGGUCCACACUCCUCCUCGCUCUCCGGUCUUCCCCUCUGCAUUCCUUCCAUCCACACAGGAGCACACCACCGGCUGAGCUCCGGGACUCCUGGAGACAUUUAUUGGAUGUCUGGCCUAAGUGCUGGGGACCAAACAUUCAGAAGCUUCCUGAGAUGGGCUCUGAACACGACUGUGGCCCAUGGAAGCGGUUCUCGAAUCUGAAAGAGCAUCCCAUUACUAGAAAUCUUGCCAAAACACAAAUUUCUAAGUGCCUCCCAGAAAUCUGAGUGCCAUACCCUGAAGUUUCCUAGUGAGGCCUAAGAAUUUGCAUUUGAAACUACUGUUUGGAACUGGGGACCACACCCUGAGCUCCUAGCUGGCUUUCUGGCCCCACCAGUAGAGUUACUUCUGACACUGGGAGACCCUGUCAUGGGACAGGGUAGAGCUGUGGUCAGCAUCCUUCAGGGACCACCUGGGAUGCUGGGUCACCACUCAGGAUCUUGAGACACUGGGAGAGGAAGGAGAGAAGGGUUAAUGUCCAGCACUUAGCUGGCAGUCCCCGGAGGGCAGGGGCUGUCUGGAGCUUCCUGAGAAUCCCACUCGCUCCUCCCCUGAUUCCGGCAGUGUCAGGGUUUUUCCACAGUAGAUGUUCGAUCAAUAUUCAUUGAUGAGGAUUCAUUGAAGAGGAAGAACCUACCUACAGCCCAGGCCAGCCAUAAAAUGCAAACAGCAGUCACUCAAUAAAUAUUUAUAGAGCAUCCUCUAUCUACUAUGUCCAGAGGGUCUAAG